AGCUUGUUCACGUUUCUCGCCACACAAGACGUAAACAGGCCGUUACUAAGAGACAGUCGACAAUUUGAAGCAGUCAACGUAGUACAACAAUGCACUGACGUCAUAUCUCGCAGUUUACACUUCCAACAAUCAGUUUGCUCACCAAGGAGGACUGCGUACUACGAGGUAGACCCACUAUGAAACCCAUCUUUUAGAGUAGGCGAUAGGUUUAAAUCGGCCACGUCCAGAAGCAUUACCGCAUUUAAAAUCCAGCGGUCUGUGUGUCAGCACCCACUUCAAAAUGCAACUAUGCAGAAGGGGUGUACAAUAGCCAUUUCUCGCACCGAAGCAGGUUCACUGCCGAACACGCGAGUGCUGGCAGAACAUUCCAGAAAUCCGAAAAAACCCAAGGCCACGUCGUUAAUUCUUGAAAGGAACUUUGAUUUGUAUUGAUUCGUAAUUCAAGAGUCUCUGUCACAUGCAGACUACACGUGAUAACCAACAUACUCUGUCCAUUUCUCAUUGUUCGAUUUAUGUUGUUUUUUUUAAAGAAGACAUAACAUAAGUUGUUUCUGUUCAAUUUAUUCUAGUUUAAUUUAACUUUAGGCAACGCAAAGCAGUCAAUUUUUUUAAAAAUGUACUCGCUACUGAACACUUACGAGUUGUUGGAACCAGGGCCGCCUUCGACGUUGCGAUGUGCACGGCGAUGGCUUAGGCGCCCUGGAAGUAGGAAUGUAACGUAAAAAUACAAGACUGAAAAGAAUAAAUAAAGAAGACGUCGUUAAAUA